rnacentral:rRNA from 1 species
UACGUAGGGGGCAAGCGUUGUCCGGAUUCAUUGGGCGUAAAGAGCGUGUAGGCGGCCAGGUAGGUCGGUUGUGAAAACUGGAGGCUCAACCUUCAGACGUCGACCGAAACCAUCUGGCUAGAGUCCGGGAGAGGAGAGUGGAAUUCCUGGUGUAGCGGUGAAAUGCGCAGAUAUCAGGAAGAACACCAAUGGCGAAAGCAGCUUUCUGGGACGGUACUGACGCUGAGACGCGAAAGCGUGGGGAGCGAACAGG